UAGGGAAUCUUCGGCAAUGGACGAAAGUCUGACCGAGCAACGCCGCGUGAGUGAAGAAGGUUUUCGGAUCGUAAAACUCUGUUGUUAGAGAAGAACAAGGACGUUAGUAACUGAACGUCCCCUGACGGUAUCUAACCAGAAAGCCACGGCUAACUACGUGCCAGCAGCCGCGGUAAUACGUAGGUGGCAAGCGUUGUCCGGAUUUAUUGGGCGUAAAGCGAGCGCAGGCGGUUUCUUAAGUCUGAUGGGAAAGCCCCCGGCUCAACCGGGGAGGGUCAUUGGAAACUGGGAGACUGGAGUGCAGAAGAGGAGAGUGGAAUUCCAUGUGUAGCGGUGAAAUGCGUAGAUAUAUGGAGGAACACCAGUGGCGAAGGCGGCGCUCUGGUCUGUAACUGACGCUGAGGCUCGAAAGCGUGGGGAGCAAACAGG
rnacentral:rRNA from 1 species